rnacentral:rRNA from 1 species
GUAGGUGGCAAGCGUUGUCCGGAAUCAUUGGGCGUAAAGCGCGCGCAGGCGGUUCUUUAAGUCUGAUGUGAGAGCCCACGGCUCAACCGUGGAGGGUCAUUGGAAACUGGAGAACUUGAGUACAGAAGAGGAAAGCGGAAUUCCACGUGUAGCGGUGAAAUGCGUAGAGAUGUGGAGGAACACCAGUGGCGAAGGCGGCUUUCUGGUCUGUAACUGACGCUGAGGCGCGAAAGCGUGGGGGGAGCAAACAGGAUUAGAUACCCUGGUAGUCCACGCCGUAAACGAUGAGUGCUAAGUGUUAGGGGGUUUCCGCCCCCCCCUUAGUGCUGCAGCUAACGCAUUAAGCACUCCGCCUGGGGAGUACGGCCGCAAGGCUG